ensembl:lncRNA
GGAAAGGGGCUGGGGGUGGGGGUUGGAAACAGGACUGACAAAUGUCAAGCACAUGUUCCCGCGGAAAUAGGAUGUAGUUGUGGUGAGCAGGGCUUGGCAGUGGGGGGCCUGCAUCUGACCAGAAUCUUAAGAGCUUUCCUGGUGGAGAGGCUCUGGCAACGAAGAGGGGUGAGCUCUCACCAUUAGGGGUGUGGGGCAUCAGGGAUCAUGGAAUGCCUGCCUGGUGGAGUCUGGCCGGGCGUCUCCAGAGACUCAGGUUUUCCCUGGCGUGGACCAGGACAAUUUGCCACCACCCGGCAGGCAGCCUCUAGCAGGGCUAACUCUGUAAGAAGGAAGGGGCCCAUUCUCAGCCCAUGCUUGGGUGCAUGCUAAGUCGCCUCAGUUGUGUCUGAUUCUUUGUGACCCCAGGGACUAUAGCCUGCCAGGCUCCUCUGUCCAUGGGAUUCUCUCGGCAAGAAUACUAGAGUAGGUUGCCAUGCCCUCCUCCAGGGGAUCUUCCCAACCCAGGGGUCAAAUCCAUGUCUUUCAUGUCUCCUACAUUGGCAGGCAGGUUCUUUACCACUAGCGCUGCCUGGGAAGCCCCAUUCUCAGUCCAGGUCAGUCCCAAAAGCAGAGCCCCCCACCCCCACCAGCAGGACCUCAGACAGGACACUGUGUCCUCUCCUCUCUGCCCUCACCCUGGUGUUCACUGUCGCCUCCGCUGCACAGGCCUCGUGCAGCUCAGAGGGAUGAAGCAAAAACCUCACAAGGGCCCAGAGAACACCAACCCACACACUCCUUCCUGCCUCUUCACAUCCUAAAGGGCUGUUUUCCAUCUCUCUCUGGUUGUCCCAAAGUCACACUAGUUACUCCAGCAGAGGGUGGAGGGACAGCUCUGGGCCAGGAAGCAGGUGACUUGCAGUCAAUUUCCAGCUUUCUGUGACCCUGGGCCACAGUCUCUUCUGUCUGAGCCUUGAGUUAUUUCCCUGCACAGAGUGGCCAAGGACAAGGAUAUUUAAAUGCUUUUGGUUCUUUACAGUAAUGGACUCUUCAGUAUUUUGGCGAAAAAUCUGAGCUGGAAUAUCGAUGUAUAAAGCACAUAAAAGCAAAACUGCUCUAGUUGGAGUGGGGGAGGGUCUGGGGUCCCAUCCACUCAGCCUCCCACAAACCCAAGACCGAAAACCACGGGACCACGGGACCUCUAAGAGAAUUGUUGCCCUCGAGUUCCACUGGGGCUCCUAAGCAGGUUAGGACUGGGAGGUAUAAAGGCAGCAUUAUUGACUGGAAAGGUGUUGACAACUAGUUCAACUGCAGAGAUGGGGGAGGCUAGGCUCGUUGUACUUUGAUUACAAAACAGAAGUAGCUUUCUGCGAUGGUCCCAGCUCCAGCUAAUGGAGCAUUAGAACAACCCGCCUUCCUCCUGAAGCUAGGCACAGAAGGAGACGAGUCCCCAGGCUUUCCUCCGGAGGGGCUGGGGACACACUGCCUGGAGUCAGGAGAUCAGUCUAAUGGCCUCCCAGGGGCCGGCGCCUUCUGUGGACAUAGCAGGCGUGGGGGAGAGCGCAGGGCACGAGUGCCCCUAGCAGACGUGGCUCGAGUGCUCAGUCCAGCCUUGCCCUCUCCAGGGGGACUGACUUUGAGACACCCGACCAGGCCCUGCCUCCAGCCUCUGCUCCGGAAACCCCCUCAUUCUGCCGUGUCUGCUUAAUCCCUGUUCACAGCAGGCUGACCUCCCGCCUCCGUGGCCUCACACUGCGCCUGCCCCAGAGUCUCUCAGGCCGCCUUCGAAAAAUAAAUAAAUACUUUCUCCAUUAUCCCAUUAACAGCUUCACAGGUUUUUCUGCUAUUAGUUCCCAACUCCAGUGAAAGUGGAAACACGUGUCCUGAAGAGCCUCGCUUGCCCACUAGCCGCUAUGGGGCUGGUGCUAAGCUCCAGGUGCGUGCUGUACCCGUCCACCUGCAGCCGCCCACUGCGGAGAGGUGGGGUCAGAACCCACUCUGCUCCCCCAGCCUCGAGUUCUGCCAACCUCAGUAUAUAGCAGCCACACACCAGGUAUGCUACAGCUUUUGUGCACUGUUCCUCAAAGGCGGUGCAUCUUCAUACAAAGCUCUGUACCUGUCUGGACCUCAGAAUGUGGGAUCUAGUUCCCUGACCAGGGAUCGAACCCGGGCCACCUGCAUUGGGAGCAUGGAGUCUUAACCGCUGGACCACCAGGGCAGUGUCCUGCUUCACUUCUCUUGACUUUGAGCUUCAUGAGACAGGGAGGAUGUCUUGUGAUCCCUAGGCAAAAGAAAACCACCCCCUUGGAGGACUGUCUGUUGUCACACCCAGUAAGUGUAGAGCUGGGACUGUGUGAAGCCGGGCUGUGGGCCCCAGCCCUGCAGCAGCUACUCCACUGUCCAGGACCUGCCCUUGGGCCCCCCAGGGAGCACCAGGGUAGGGCUGGCAUUCCAGCCAGCCCCAGCUCUCAGCGCCCAUCGUGCCCAGCCCAGCGUGUUUACUCCACCCACUGGGGCCUGCUGCUGCUUAACCUACAAAUCCCUGUCCCCCCACCCCACCCCCAUGUCUCCUCUCUCCUCUCCGUCUCUGCGGAAUCUCCAAGCAUGGCCCAUCUGCUGUGUCGGGCACUGCUUCACCAUCUACUUUCUUUAAUCUUCCACAACGCUUGAGUAUUGGUGUGAAGGCUCAGAGAGGUUCGGAAACGUGCCCAAGAUCACACAGUCUGUGUGCAAGUGGUGGAACCCAGAUUCCAGUGUCUCCGUCUGUUUGAUUCCCAAGGCCAUUCUCCCUCUCUCUCCCUCUGCUCCCCUCCCUUGCAGAGGCUGGAGCUCCACAUCUGGCUCCCAAAUGACCCCCUGAGGAGGGAAGGCAAAGGCCUGGGGACCCAGUUUGCAGGGAAGCAGGGAGGGGAGGGGUGGGCAGAGAGACAGAACUGGCCUUCUUCCCUCCAAGUCGGCUCAGAGGCCCUGUCUAGGGUGCCCAGGCGCUGAGCUGCCCUCUUCUGUCCUCCUAGCUUCUUUUGGGAGGCAAUGUGCUUCUCAUUAGGCUGGUGUUGGGUUUUGCAAACCGCACGGUCUAAUUGUGAAGCGUUGGGGGUGUGAGUAAGUGUGCAUCUCGUGUGAGAAGAGCAGUCAGGCCUCUCCCACCUCUUGCAG